GCGGAAGGAUCAUUAUUGAAUUUUUGAAGAGGUUGUCGCUGAUCUUUUAGAUAUGUGCACACCUUGUUCCAAAUUUCUACACCUGUGCACCUUUGUAGGCUGAUUUCACAAGAAAUUAGCCUACGUUUUAAUACACCCUUUGCUACUUUUAAAAGAAUGUCAUUAGCUUGUUUGGACAAGCUUAAUAAAUACAACUUUCAACAACGGAUCUCUUGGCUCUCGCAUCGAUGAAGAACGCAGCGAAAUGCGAUAAGUAAUGUGAAUUGCAGAAUUCAGUGAAUCAUCGAAUCUUUGAACGCACCUUGCGCUCCUUGGUAUUCCGAGGAGCAUGCCUGUUUGAGUGUCAUUAAAUUCUCAACCUUGAUUUAUUUAUUUCAAGGCUUGGAUUUGGAGUCUUUGCUGGCUUUUUCAAAGUCGGCUUCUCUCAAAUGUAUUAGCUUGUAUCCUUUGUGAUAGGGGCUUUGGUUUGAUAAUUAUCUAUGCCAUCGCCUUGAAGCAGAUGUCAGCUUCCAAUAGUCCUCCUUUGGACAACUUUUUUUUU
rnacentral:rRNA from 1 species